UAGGGAAUCUUCCGCAAUGGACGAAAGUCUGACGGAGCAACGCCGCGUGAGUGAUGAAGGUUUUCGGAUCGUAAAGCUCUGUUGUUAGGGAAGAACAAGUACCGUUCGAAUAGGGCGGUACCUUGACGGUACCUAACCAGAAAGCCACGGCUAACUACGUGCCAGCAGCUGCGGUAAUACGUAGGUGGCAAGCGUUGUCCGGAAUUAUUGGGCGUAAAGGGCUCGCAGGCGGUUUCUUAAGUCUGAUGUGAAAGCCCCCGGCUCAACCGGGGAGGGUCAUUGGAAACUGGGGAACUUGAGUGCAGAAGAGGAGAGUGGAAUUCCACGUGUAGCGGUGAAAUGCGUAGAGAUGUGGAGGAACACCAGUGGCGAAGGCGACUCUCUGGUCUGUAACUGACGCUGAGGAGCGAAAGCGUGGGGAGCGAACAGGAUUAGAUACCCUGGUAGUCCACGCCGUAAACGAUGAGUGCUAAGUGUUAGGGGGUUUCCGCCCCUUAGUGCUGCAGCUAACGCAUUAAGCACUCCGCCUGGGGAGUACGGUCGCAAGACUGAAACUCAAAGGAAUGGACGG
rnacentral:rRNA from 1 species